CUUGGUCAUUUAGAGGAAGUAAAAGUCGUAACAAGGUCUCCGUUGGUGAACCAGCGGAGGGAUCAUUACCGAGUUUACAACUCCCAAACCCCUGUGAACAUACCACUUGUUGCCUCGGCGGAUCAGCCCGCUCCCGGUAAAACGGGACGGCCCGCCAGAGGACCCCUAAACUCUGUUUCUAUAUGUAACUUCUGAGUAAAACCAUAAAUAAAUCAAAACUUUCAACAACGGAUCUCUUGGUUCUGGCAUCGAUGAAGAACGCAGCAAAAUGCGAUAAGUAAUGUGAAUUGCAGAAUUCAGUGAAUCAUCGAAUCUUUGAACGCACAUUGCGCCCGCCAGUACUCUGGCGGGCAUGCCUGUUCGAGCGUCAUUUCAACCCUCAAGCACAGCUUGGUGUUGGGACUCGCGUUAAUUCGCGUUCCUCAAAUUGAUUGGCGGUCACGUCGAGCUUCCAUAGCGUAGUAGUAAAACCCUCGUUACUGGUAAUCGUCGCGGCCACGCCGUUAAACCCCAACUUCUGAAUGUUGACCUCGGAUCAGGUAGGAAUACCCGCUGAACUUAAGCAUAUCAAUAAGCGGAGGA
rnacentral:rRNA from 1 species